rnacentral:rRNA from 1 species
UACGUAGGCAGCAAGCGUUGUUCGGAGUUAUUGGGCGUAAAGGGCUCGUAGGCGGCGUGUCGCGUCGGGGAGUGAAAGCCCGCUGCUUAACGGCGGGUUGGCUUCCGGUACGGGCAUCGCUGGAGUGCGGCAGGGGGAGACUGGAAUUCCUGGUGUAGCGGUGGAAUGCGCAGAUAUCAGGAGGAACACCGGUGGCGAAGGCGGGUCUCUGGGCCGUUACUGACGCUGAGGAGCGAAAGCGUGGGGAGCGAACAGG